AGUGCUGUUUCCGGAAAUUUGUUCAUUCUUUGGAAACAUGUUGAAGGUGUUGCUUGAUCUUUUUGGAAGUAAAACAUGUUCAUCGAGUCGUAUUGCAGUAAAGUUUGGGACAAACGUUUUGCCAAAUGAAUGUGCUGUCGUUUGAGGAACCUCGAUGGAAAUAAUCCUCGUGUGCUCCAUAGGUUUCAGCUACAAAUUCAAUUAAUAAUUAAAUGGCAGAACUAUAUAACUGCAAUACGGUCUGUAUAUGCCAUAUUGUAGAACUCUGUAAUUCUGCCAAAUGAAUAGUACGUGCAAUGACUAUCGCCAUGUGGUUGAUUAAAUUCGUGAACUAUGUGGUCUAGAUUCUGCAACACGUGCCUCUGUAAAACCUGUAGCUAUCGUGAAAUUCAUAUGUAUGUACCGUCCGUUAAUUUACAAUAUUUGUUCUUCAUUGCAGUCGGCUGUAAAAUAUAAAUAAGAGACAUGAAAUACAUAUGGGGAAUAUGUUGAGGAUAUUUAACGCACAUAUGAAAAUGCCGUAAAAUACGUGCAUGCAGAAAUCUGAUGAGAAGACUUCAGCUGAAUGAGUUCAAAGGGAAUUGGACAAUAAAUUCCUUAAGGGUGAUUUUUCCCUAACACAGCGAACAUCAAGGAAAUGCAGAAUGAAUUUGGAAUACCAUCUCAUGAGAUGAACUUGCUGGUGUUCAUGGGGUUUCGCCAAGGAUUUGCAGUUAUCGUUGCAUAUGAAACUAAAAUGUGUACACAUGAUAAUUUUCGAAAUAAAUAGUUGUAUAUUAU